rnacentral:rRNA from 3 species
CGAGAGGACCGGAGUGGACGCAUCACUGGUGUUCGGGUUGUCAUGCCAAUGGCACUGCCCGGUAGCUAAAUGCGGAAGAGAUAAGUGCUGAAAGCAUCUAAGCACGAAACUUGCCCCGAGAUGAGUUCUCCCUGAGACUUUAAGUCUCCUGAAGGAACGUUGAAGACGACGACGUUGAUAGGCCGGGUGUGUAAGCGCAGCGAUGCGUUGAGCUAACCGGUACUAAUGAACCGUGAGGCUUAACCUUACAACGCCGAAG